rnacentral:rRNA from 1 species
UACGUAGGGUGCAAGCGUUGUCCGGAAUUAUUGGGCGUAAAGAGCUCGUAGGCGGUUCGGCAAGUCGGAUGUGAAAUCUCCACGCUUAACGUGGAGGGGCCAUUCGAAACUGCCGUGACUCGAGUCCGGUAGGGGAGUGUGGAAUUCCGUGGUGUAGCGGUGAAAUGCGUAGAUAUCAGGAGGAACACCUGCGGUGUAGACGGCUUACUGGACCAUAACUGACGCUGAGGCACGAAAGCGUGGGUAGCAAACAGG